GAUGAACGCUGGCGGCGUGCCUAAUACAUGCAAGUCGAGCGAACGGACGAGAAGCUUGCUUCUCUGAUGUUAGCGGCGGACGGGUGAGUAACACGUGGAUAACCUACCUAUAAGACUGGGAUAACUUCGGGAAACCGGAGCUAAUACCGGAUAAUAUUUUGAACCGCAUGGUUCAAAAGUGAAAGACGGUCUUGCUGUCACUUAUAGAUGGAUCCGCGCUGCAUUAGCUAGUUGGUAAGGUAACGGCUUACCAAGGCAACGAGGCAUAGCCGACCUGAGAGGGUGAUCGGCCACACUGGAACGUAGACACGGUCCAGACUCCUACGGGAGGCAGCAGUAGGGAAUCUUCCGCAAUGGGCGAAAGCCUGACGGAGCAACGCCGCGUGAGUGAUGAAGGUCUUCGGAUCGUAAAACUCUGUUAUUAGGGAAGAACAUAUGUGUAAGUAACUGUGCACAUCUUGACGGUACCUAAUCAGAAAGCCACGGCUAACUACGUG
rnacentral:rRNA from 1 species